UGUUCUUUAAUUUUAAGAGUCCAGGAUAUGUUUUGUUUAUGUUCUUAAGGCUCAAACGGCUCUUGGGUAAAUCAAAUGGACUCAGAUUUGACAGACAGGCCAACAGGUGCCUCGCGUGCCGACAGCCACGAGAAACACCUGAGAUUCGCCGCGCGCGUUGGGAACCGUGUCGAGGCGUGAAGAGCUUCCAGACAGUACACAAGUGCAACAUGACAGGCACGCAGUGGUCUAGAGGUUUCUCAAGGACCCAGAUAGGAAUGAUGACAAUAGGGAUUGUAAUUGAAUUCUACUUCGGUGAUGAAGCAAAUGUCAUUACUUUUACUGCCGACUUAUUUUGGGCCAUUUAAAGUCCACUUUAAGGUUUGUUUUAUAUAGAUUUUAUAGAGUACUCUGGCGUGGAAGCAUAUCUCCCUCUAGUGGUUACAAUGUGUGAUGUGGUGCCACAGGGCCCAGUGAUCUUCUUGCUUAUACAGGAAGCCCGUUUUCACCAAGGGAAGUGAGGUCUGUUUAGAAGCGAUUCAUGUCCUCAGUCAUUAGCGUAAUGGAAGAAUGCCCCACUGUGAAGACCUACAAAGGCAGUCCGUUGAGGCCACAAACACGGAGCAGAGGAUAAAUCU